rnacentral:rRNA from 1 species
GAUGAACGCUGGCGGCGUGCCUAAUACAUGCAAGUCGAGCGAACGGACGAGAAGCUUGCUUCUCUGAUGUUAGCGGCGGACGGGUGAGUAACACGUGGAUAACCUACCUAUAAGACUGGGAUAAUUUCGGGAAACCGGCGCUAAUACCGGAUAAUAUUUUGAACCGCAGGGUUCAAAAGUGAAAGACGGUCUUGCUGUCACUUAUAGCUGGAUCCGAGCUGCAUGAGCUAGUUGGUAAGGUAACGGGUUACCAAGGGAACGAGGCAUAGCCGACCUGAUAGGGUGAUCGGCGACCUGGGAACGGGGACGCGGUCAAUGCGCCUACGGGAGGCAGCAGUAGGGUACCGGCCGCAAUGGGCGAAAACCUGACGGAGCAAGCCCGCGUGAGUGAUGGAGGUGUUCGGAUCGUAAAGCUCUGUUAUUAGGGGUGAACAGAUGUGUAAGUAACCGUGCACAUCGUGACGGUACCGAGUCAGAAAGCCACGGCUAACUACGUG